rnacentral:rRNA from 1 species
GAUGAACGCUAGCGGGAGGCCUAACACAUGCAAGCCGAGCGGUAGAAUCUUUUCGGAGAUUUGAGAGCGGCGUACGGGUGAGGAACACGUGUGCAACCUGCCUUUAUCUGGGAGAUAGCCUUUCGAACGGAAGAUUAAUAUCCCAUAAUAUAUUGAGUGGCAUCACUUAAUAUUGAAAGCUCCGGCGGAUAGAGAUGGGCACGCGCAAGAUUAGAUAGUUGGUGAGGUAACGGCUCACCAAGUCUACGAUCUUUAGGGGGCCUGAGAGGGUGAUCCCCCACACUGGUACUGAGACACGGACCAGACUCCUACGGGAGGCAGCAGUGAGGAAUAUUGGACAAUGGGUGCAAGCCUGAUCCAGCCAUCCCGCGUGAAGGAUUAAGGUCCUAUGGAUUGUAAACUUCUUUUAUACAGGGAUAAACCUCUCCUCGUGAGGAGAGCUGAAGGUACUGUAUGAAUAAGCACCGGCUAACUUCGUGCCAGCAGCCGCAGUAACAC